GUGCUGCAGUGAGGUGGUUGUCGCCCGUGUUGUGUGUGUGUGAGUGUGUGUGAGUGAGUGAGUGUGUGCGUGGGGGCACUCGGCUUGUUGUUGUCGGUGAUGUCCCCCUUCCCUCAACCCCUCCCCUCCCAGCCUGCCGCUGCAGUGGCCGCUCCCUGGGCCGUAGGAAAUGAGCUAUAACGAUGACAUCAAGGUGGAGAGGGACACUGACAAGCAGCCUCACCAUAAUGCACUGGAACGAAAGCAUAGGGACCACAUCAAAGACAGCUUUCACAGUUUGCGGAACUCAGUCCCAUCACUCCAAGGAGAGAAGGCAUCCCAGGCCCAAAUCCUAGACAAAGCAACAGAGUAUAUCCAGUAUAUGCGAAGGAAAAAUCAUACGCACCAGCAAGACAUUGAUGACCUCAAGAGGCAGAAUGCUCUUCUGGAGCAACAAGUCCGUGCACUGGAGAAGGCAAGAUCAAGUGCCCAACUGCAGACCAACUACCCCUCCUCAGACAACAGCCUCUAAAUCAACGCCAAGGGCGGCACCAUCUCUGCCUUCGAUGGGGGUUCAGACUCCAGCUCAGAGUCCGAGCCUGAAGAGCCCCAGAGCAGGAAGAAACUCCGGAUGGAGGCCAGCUAAGCCAUGCGGGGCA